AACCGCGGUUAUACGAGAGGCCCCAGUUGAUUAACUAACGGCGUAAGGGGUGGUUAUGGAUAAUAAAAAAUAAAGCCGAAUGGCCCUUUAGCUGUUAUACGCUUUUUAGGCGUCUGAAGCCCAAACACGAAAGUUGCUUUAAUAAAACCUGAACCCACGAAAGCUAAGAGAA
rnacentral:rRNA from 1 species